GGCUAUGUCAAGAAAAGCACUCGAGGUCCUACCAUCCUCCACUUUUGCCUGAAUCCAACUCUAUACCCAAAGUACCAUGGGCAUCAGGAGCCAAAGGAAACUGCAGUAGCCCAGGCCUGGGAGAGCUUGCUCCCCCAUGCUGAUACAUUCAAGGGAACAAAAGCCUUCCAAAUCGCAUGGAGCUGGUCGGGAGAUGGAAGGCCUUUAUGCAGGUUUCCAAGGAGAUGACUCAGAUGCUGUUACCAUAGAAACUGUCGCUACCAUCUAUUGUCCAUCAACCCUUGACAGGAGAGGGAGAAGGAGUAUAAGGGGAGGGGUGAUCCAGAAGGAAGAAGAGUUGGAUUUCAACCAAGAUUAAACAAAACAUAUUGAGGUUAAAUGAGGUUGAAAAUUGCUCCUGUGGGUCCCUGCAAGAAUGAACCGACAGCUAACAUCUCGGACAGCCCAAGGGUAAAGUUCUUUAAUUGCGAACUGACUAAAAAUUAGAAACAUUAAUUAAGGAAGAAGAUUUCCCAGAAAUGUCCUACCUCUCAGAAGUAAUCCCAAGAGCUGCCCAUAGAUGUUUCUGGUGAAAGCAUCAUGACUUCCGCCAUAACUGAUGGAUUAAGAAGGGGAGCCAGGCCCGCCCUGGUGGAGGAAGCAAUUUUGCCCUUCCAGCAACUGACAGGAGACUCCACAUUCCUCAUUGUCUCUUUUCGAACAGAGUGAGGACAAUAGUUGGGACACACUAUUAACCACCAUCACCUCUCCUCCCAGUUCUUCUUCUGUGAAGGGAAAUGAAGGCUUCCGACCCCCAUCCCCACCAGAAAGAGGACAAGCAAAGCUGCAGCCUUUAGUCCUCAUCUUAGUCCCGACUGCCACAACCACUCAGCAGACGAGGCUGAAGCAAAGUCCCACAGAGACUUUUGCAAACAGUUUAACUAAUCAGGAUGUCAGACCUAAAGCAGAGAGCACCGUUCAUUACCAGCGUAAAGACUGAGAACAGUAGGCUCCAUCGGUGACAAUGGUAACUUCUAGUUAAUCAGGCUCCUGCGCUGCCUGCUGUGUGCGUGGGUGUAUGUAUGUGUGUGUAUGUGUGUAUGGAGGGGGGAUGUCAGCUCACACCCAAAGCAGCAUGCAAAAUCAAGUCCUCUUUAUUACAUUGCUCAUUUUACUUUUUCUCUUCUACUUCUGCCUGCCUCCUCCUUCCCAAGGACCAAUUAGCAAUAAAAGCUGGGAGAGAGCUGCAGGUUUUAUGUUCGCUGCUAAAGCAGAAGAUUUAAGCAAUCUCUUCUCUCAAGAUUUGAGCCCUGUCUCCACUGGGUCCCCUGAGGUACUGUUCCCCUCCGUUCUUGCAGGCGGAUUAUUCCAGUGACUAUCUCUACAUAAGAAAUUGCAACCUCUGUAAUAUAACAGCCAUUUCAUUUUGCUCACACUUUUGUGGGUCAGGAAUGUGGGAGAGGCUGGGCUGGGCAGUUCUUGCUUGGGGUUCUCACGCAGUUACAUAAGAAGUUGGCCAGAGCUGCAGUCAGCGGAAAGUUGGACGAGGCUGGGCGUCCAAGAUGGCUCCAUCAAAAGGCUGGCAGACUAUGCUGGCUGUUGACUGGGAGCUCAGCAGGAGCUGUCAACCAGAGUGCCCACACGUGGCCUCUCUAGCAUGGCUGUAUCAGGCUAGUUAGAUUUCUUACUUGGCAGCUGACUUCUCUCAGUGAUUGACAGUUGUCUAGCUUUUUUUGGAUCUAGCCUCAGAAGUCCCAGAGCCUCAGAAGUCACAUUCUUCCACUGCAUUCUAUGGGGCUAUAAGCGAGUCCCUAAGCUCAGCCCAGAUUCAAGGGGAGAAAUCACAUAUCCCAUCUCUCAAUGACACAAAUGUCAAAGAAUUUGCAGACAUGUCUUAAAAUCCCCACACUGACCUGUCUGAACUGUUUUAAAAUCCCCAUGUGCCUGACAUCAGGGAAUGUACCUUUUCACUACUGUAUCUCUCACACCCAGCAGAGGGUCCAGCAUAUAGUAGAUGCUCAAUAAAUAGAUGUUGCCUAGAUAAAUGAACAAAAGAAGAAAAUGAGCUUCCAGAGUGAGGCUCUACUUUUUAAGAGGAAAGGUUAUUUCCUUUCCCUGAGUCUCGGUUUUUUUGGUUUUUUUCACUGCUACAGUGGGGGUCUUAUCUUCAGCUUCCAUGGGAUGAUGGUUAGGAACUAAUGAGAUAAUUUAUGAGGAAGGAUUUUCAUUUUCUCAGAGUUGCUGGAAAAGCAAGACUAGAAAUGGCACCAUGUGGCCAGGCUCUCCUGUUCAGACUGUAGUGCUUACCCUCUUGUCAAGGUUGACCUCUGUCACCCCAUCUGGAUGGGCUUCCUGUCUCUCCUCUGCCCAGUCAAUCCUUGGAGGCCUAUCUCCACCUCAGGCUCUUCCCAGAGAGGCAGUGUGGGGAUUAAGAACCGGGAGCCUGAGUGCAAAUCCUGUCUCUCCCGUUCUGCAGUGUAGCCUUGGACAGGUGGCUCAAUCCUUCUGUGCCCCAUUUGCCUCUGUAAAAUGAGGAUAAUAAUAGCGCCUACCUCGCAUAAUAGUUGUGAGGAUUAAAUGAGUCACUAGGCACUAAGUGCUCAGAAGGUUACCUCACAUACAGCAAGUGUAAUUAGCCAUAAUUAUCACUCUAGCCUUCAUGGAUCUCCCUCUCGAGCUCUGAGUUCCAUGCUCUACCCAUAAUGAACACUCUUCCGAUUCCCCAAAAUGCCGUGUUUUCUUGUGCUUCUGUGCAUUCUACAUGCAACUUUCUCUUAAAAAGAGUAAUCUUUAAGGCAUCAGAGCAGGACCUGGCACAUGCUAAGCGCUAUCUCCAUGUUGGCAAUUAUGAUUCUGCCUAGAAUGUGCUUUCCCACCUUUCCACUAGUCCCCCUGGCCGGCUAACUCCUAGUCAUCUUUUAGGUCUCAUUUCAGAUGUUUCCUUCCAAGAAGCUUUCCCUCCCAUCCUAAAUCUAAGUCACGUGUCUUUCCAAUCAAGGUCACUGCUGGUCCCUGUGGCCUUUCUGUGGGUUACGAAGAGGCUCCCCUUCUCCAGGCAGCACAUGUCUUGAGCAGGAGAGCAGGGGCUGGAUUUCAGCCUCUAUUUUCCCCUUCAGCCAAGAGCCCUUGAGCAGCCCCACCCUGCAUAACCAUGUGCCGCUGCCCUGCAUCCAGUGUGUCACCCACUGGAUUUCUCAGACUCCACUAUAAUUAUAUCUGGACUUGUCUGCAUCCCUCCAGCAGACUGUGAACUCUGCAAGGGCAGGGCCACAAUUGCUCCAAAUGAAACCCCAAUACCCAGUACACCACCCAGCACUUCGUAGGUGCUCAGCAAAUAUUUGAUGAAUAAAUGAACGGACCAUGAAGAAAGGACCACGUGCCCCAUAUCCUUCCCUUUGCUUGGUUGUAUCUUUCACUGUCCCAGUGUAAGCACAAAGCCACUCCGUAACACAUGCUGAGCUUAACAUCACCCUUACGUUUGUGGUUUUUGUUUCGAGUGAGGGAACCGAGAGGGAGGUUUCCAUGCCCUUCCUUCAAACAGACAGUGUAAUUCAAGUCCAAGCUGCAGAGAGUGCUCUGCUGUAAGGGCCCUUAUCCAGGUGGCUUAUGGUACCUCUGCAAAUGCAACCGUCCUAUUAAAUGGCAAAGAGCUAUUCUAGGGCCCAGCUGAGUCUGCCCAGCCUUCAGCAGAAUGUGUAAGCCUAAAAUACUUCCCUGAAUGGUUCAGAAGGCACUGGAUGAGGGUGCUGGCCCAACCAUUGCCCACACGGCCAGAAGGCAGGAAUCCCCAGCCCUGUGCCAGGUAAGCAGGCAUGCCUCCACAUACAGCCACAUGUCAUGUUGUGCUGCAGGAGCCAGACCUGGGCCAAUCCCAGAAGUCAAUGUGGCCCUAUAUUUAGCAAGUUGGCAGUAGUUGUGGCUUAUGCAAAAGGAGAGACAAUAAGGCAAUAAGACAGUCUAACCUGGGCAUUUAAGGUAUGAGUUUCAAUUACAGUCACGUGCUGCAUAACGAAGUUUUGGUUAACAGCAGCCUGCAUAUACAAUAGUGGUCCCAUAAGAUUAGUACCAUAUAGCCUACAUGUGUAGUAGGCUAUACCAUCUAGGUUUGUGUAAGUAUACCCUAAGAUAUUUGCACAACGACGACAUCGUCUAACAACACAUUUCUCAGAACGGAUCCCUGUUGUUAAGUGAUACAUGACUACAGUGUCUCUAGGCUGGUAGGCAGGUGAGCGAAUGUGCCCAGAAGAUGCAAAGCUGCCUGGUGGCGGGAGCAGCACCAAUCUAGUCACCAGGAAGCCUUAUCAGAGCUCUGGCUCCACAUUACUGGGACAAGUUGCCUUCCCUCUAUAUCUGUGUCCUCAAGUGUCAGCUGGCAAUAUAGUGGUCUUUCCACUAUCCUAGAAUUAUUUUUGAGAAUUAAAUCAGAUAAACAUUAAAGCAACCUGAAGCUUGAUUAUUCUGUAAGUUAUUAUCAACGAGCUGUAUAAUUCCUCUGCACUGUCGCCCUACUCCAAGCUGCUUUCCAACUGGGAUUCUCUCUUGCUGCCCUCAACCUGCACAGUGGU